rnacentral:rRNA from 1 species
UACAGAGGUCUCAAGCGUUGUUCGGAUUCAUUGGGCGUAAAGGGUGCGUAGGCGGCGGGGCAAGUCAGGUGUGAAAUCCCGGAGCUCAACUCCGGAACUGCACUUGAUACUGCCUUGCUAGAGUACUGGAGAGGAGACUGGAAUUUACGGUGUAGCAGUGAAAUGCGUAGAUAUCGUAAGGAAGACCAGUGGCGAAGGCGAGUCUCUGGCCCGGUACUGACGCUGAGGCGCGAAAGCGUGGGAGCAACAG